rnacentral:rRNA from 1 species
AUUGAACGCUGGCGGCAUGCCUUACACAUGCAAGUCGAACGGCAGCACGGGUGCUUGCACCUGGUGGCGAGUGGCGAACGGGUGAGUAAUACAUCGGAACAUGUCCUGUAGUGGGGGAUAGCCCGGCGAAAGCCGGAUUAAUACCGCAUACGAUCUACGGAUGAAAGCGGGGGACCUUCGGGCCUCGCGCUAUAGGGUUGGCCGAUGGCUGAUUAGCUAGUUGGUGGGGUAAAGGCCUACCAAGGCGACGAUCAGUAGCUGGUCUGAGGGGACGACCAGCCACACUGGGACUGAGACACGGCCCAGACUCCUACGGGAGGCAGCAGUGGGGAAUUUUGGACAAUAGGCGAAAGCCUGAUCCAGCAAUGCCGCGUGUGUGAAGAAGGCCUUCGGGUUGUAAAGCACUUUUGUCCGGAAAGAAAUCCUUGGCCCUAAUACGGUCGGGGGAUGACGGUACCGGAAGAAUAAGCACCGGCUAACUACGUG